rnacentral:rRNA from 1 species
AAAUUGAAGAGUUUGAUCAUGGCUCAGAUUGAACGCUGGCGGCAGGCCUAACACAUGCAAGUCGAACGGUAACAGAGAGCAGCUUGCUGCUUUGCUGACGAGUGGCGGACGGGUGAGUAAUGUCUGGGAAACUGCCUGAUGGAGGGGGAUAACUACUGGAAACGGUGGCUAAUACCGCAUAACGUCGCAAGACCAAAGAGGGGGACCUUCGGGCCUCUUGCCAUCAGAUGUGCCCAGAUGGGAUUAGCUUGUUGGUGAGGUAACGGCUCACCAAGGCGACGAUCCCUAGCUGGUCUGAGAGGAUGACCAGCCACACUGGAACUGAGACACGGUCCAGACUCCUACGGGAGGCAGCAGUGGGGAAUAUUGCACAAUGGGCGCAAGCCUGAUGCAGCCAUGCCGCGUGUAUGAAGAAGGCCUUCGGGUUGUAAAGUA